rnacentral:rRNA from 1 species
AUUGAACGCUGGCGGCAUGCUUUACACAUGCAAGUCGAACGGUAACAGGGAGCUUGCUCCGCUGACGAGUGGCGAACGGGUGAGUAAUAUAUCGGAACGUACCCAAGAGUGGGGGAUAACGUAGCGAAAGUUACGCUAAUACCGCAUACGAUCUAUGGAUGAAAGUGGGGGACCGCAAGGCCUCAUGCUCCUGGAGCGGCCGAUAUCUGAUUAGCUAGUUGGUGAGGUAAAGGCUCACCAAGGCAACGAUCAGUAGCUGGUCUGAGAGGACGACCAGCCACACUGGGACUGAGACACGGCCCAGACUCCUACGGGAGGCAGCAGUGGGGAAUUUUGGACAAUGGGGGCAACCCUGAUCCAGCAAUGCCGCGUGAGUGAAGAAGGCCUUCGGGUUGUAAAGCUCUUUUGUCAGGGAAGAAACGGGUGUGGCUAAUAUCCAUAUCUAAUGACGGUACCUGAAGAAUAAGCACCGGCUAACUACGUGCCAGCAGCCGCCGUAA